rnacentral:rRNA from 1 species
AAGGUGCUUGCACCUUUGCUGUCGAGCGGCGGACGGGUGAGUAAUGCCUAGAUAUCUGCCUAGUCGUGGGGGAUAACAGUUGGAAACGACUGCUAAUACCGCAUACGCCCUACGGGGGAAAGGAGGGGACCUUCGGGCCUUUCGCGAUUAGAUGAGUCUAGGUGGGAUUAGCUAGUAGGUAAGGUAAUGGCUUACCUAGGCGACGAUCCCUAGCUGUUCUGAGAGGAUGAUCAGCCACACUGGGACUGAGACACGGCCCAGACUCCUACGGGAGGCAGCAGUGGGGAAUAUUGCACAAUGGGGGAAACCCUGAUGCAGCCAUGCCGCGUGUGUGAAGAAGGCCUUCGGGUUGUAAAGCACUUUCAGCGAGGAGGAAAGGGUAGUAGUUAAUAACUGCUAUCUGUGACGUUACUCGCAGAAGAAGCACCGGCUAACUUCGUGCCAGCAGCCGCGGUAAUACGAGGGGUGCAAGCGUUAAUCGGAAUUACUGGGCGUAAAGCGUACGCAGGCGGUUUGUUAAGCAAGAUGUGAAAGCCCCGGGCUCAACCUGGGAAUUGCAUUUUGAACUGGCAAACUAGAGUCUUGUAGAGGGGGGUAGAAU